rnacentral:rRNA from 1 species
CCGAUAGCGAACAAGUACCGUGAGGGAAAGAUGAAAAGCACUUUGAAAAGAGAGUUAAAGAGUACGUGAAACCGUUGAAGGGGAAACGAAUGCGACCAGCAAAGCACUCGUUGCAGAUUCAGUCGCGUCUCGGCGUCGCGGUCGGCUGGCGGAUCCGUAUGGACCCGUCGUCGGCUCGUCGACGUCGAGGCGCGCCGCAAUUCUGUCUCGUGCGAGCCAACGUCGGUUCGUCGACGACGUUCGGCUGUCGCGUCAGGUGGCUCGUGGCUUCGGUCGGGAGCGUUAUAGACGCGUCAGCAAGGGCGUCGAGACGGACCGAGGAGACGAAAUGUCGAUGGCGAACCGCGCUCUUCUGGGCUAGAGUCGUUCGACGCGCGUCGUGCGUCGCGUUUUGGACUGCGUGCAGUGCUCGAUGCGAUCGUGCGGGCGCGUCGGGWCGUCUUCAUAAGCGGUUGUCGGUCGUUGGCGGUGAAAUGGUCUCAUCCGACCCGUCUUGAAACACGGACCAAGGAGUCUAACAUGUGUGCGAGUCGUGGGGUGACGAAACCCUGUGGCGCAAUGAAAGUGAGUUUGGAGACGAGAAGCGGCGUCUCGGCGUCGUUGCAUCGUCGGCCGACCUGUCCUGAUUUCAGAAAGGUUUGAGUAGGAGCACGCCUGUUGGGACCCGAAAGAUGGUGAACUAUGCCUGAAUAGGGUGAAGCCAGAGGAAACUCUGGUGGAGGCUCGUAGCGAUUCUGACGUGCAAAUCGAUCGUCCAAUUUGGGUAUAGGGGCGAAAGA